rnacentral:rRNA from 1 species
AUUGAACGCUGGCGGCAUGCCUUACACAUGCAAGUCGAACGGUAACAGGUCUUCGGAUGCUGACGAGUGGCGAACGGGUGAGUAAUACAUCGGAACGUGCCCGAUCGUGGGGGAUAACGCAGCGAAAGCUGUGCUAAUACCGCAUACGAUCUACGGAUGAAAGCGGGGGAUCGCAAGACCUCGCGCGGACGGAGCGGCCGAUGGCAGAUUAGGUAGUUGGUGGGAUAAAAGCUUACCAAGCCGACGAUCUGUAGCUGGUCUGAGAGGACGACCAGCCACACUGGGACUGAGACACGGCCCAGACUCCUACGGGAGGCAGCAGUGGGGAAUUUUGGACAAUGGGCGCAAGCCUGAUCCAGCCAUGCCGCGUGCAGGAUGAAGGCCUUCGGGUUGUAAACUGCUUUUGUACGGAACGAAAAGCUCUCUCUAAUACAGGGGUGAAUGACGGUACCGUAAGAAUAAGCACCGGCUAACUACGUGCCAGCAGACCGG